UGAAUUAAUUAAUUCUAUAGUACAUUAUCAGUGUUACAUACAUGCAUCAAUUGGAUGCAUGCACGAAUUAUUUCUAUAAAAAAAAUAUAUAUAUAUAAUUUUUUUUGUUUGAUUCAAAAUUAACGUCAAAACGCACAGUCGUUUAGGAGCUGCGGCGUCGUUUUCUUUCUUCUCCGACGUAGUUUCGUUCACCGGCUCAUCCGACGGCAACAAUCAUCACUGUUCUACAACCAUUUGUAAUAUCCAAUAUGCUUUCAGGUUUCUCUUUUUACCCAUUUCUACUCUUGUCUCAUCUUUUUUUGCCUGGUAGUGAUACUCAUGCACCCCACUUGUUUGUUGAAUUGCCUAGCUGACAUGAUUGUGUAAUUUUGUGCUGGGGAGUGGGGAAG
rnacentral:lncRNA from 1 species